rnacentral:rRNA from 1 species
GACGAACGCUGGCGGCGUGCCUAACACAUGCAAGUCAACUUGACUGAAGGAGCAAUCUGACAGUAGAGUGGCGCAAGGGUGCGUAACGCGUAAGUAACUUGCCCAAGGUAGGGAAUAACGUCGAGAAAUCGGCGCUAAUACCCCAUAAUGCAGCGGAUCCGCAUGGAUAUGUUGUUAAAGGUUUACCGCCUUGGGAUAGGCUUGCGUCUGAUUAGCUAGUUGGUGUGGUAACGGCACACCAAGGCUACGAUCAGUAACUGGUCUGAGAGGAUGAUCAGUCACACUGGAACUGAGACACGGUCCAGACUCCUACGGGAGGCAGCAGUGAGGAAUAUUGGGCAAUGCUCGAAAGAGUGACCCAGCAACGCCGCGUGGAGGAUGAAGGUAUUCUAUAUCGUAAACUCCUGUGAGAGCAGACGAAGACAGAUUAUUAAUCUGGUGACUGUAUGCUCAGAGGAA